rnacentral:rRNA from 1 species
UACGGGGGGGGCAAGCGUUGUUCGGAAUUACUGGGCGUAAAGGGCUCGUAGGCGGCCAACUAAGUCAGACGUGAAAUCCCUCGGCUUAACCGGGGAACUGCGUCUGAUACUGGAUGGCUUGAGUUUGGGAGAGGGAUGCGGAAUUCCAGGUGUAGCGGUGAAAUGCGUAGAUAUCGGAGGAACACCGGGUGGCGAAGGCGGCAUCCUGGACCAACACUGACGCUAGGAGCGAAAGCCAGGGGAGCAAAGC